UACGGAGGAUGCGAGCGUUAUCCGGAUUUAUUGGGUUUAAAGGGUGCGUAGGCGGACGCUUAAGUCAGCGGUAAAAUUGCGGGGCUCAACCUCGUAGAGCCGUUGAAACUGGGUGUCUUGAGUGGGCGAGAAGUACGCGGAAUGCGUGGUGUAGCGGUGAAAUGCAUAGAUAUCACGCAGAACUCCGAUUGCGAAGGCAGCGUACCGGCGCCCAACUGACGCUGAAGCACGAAGGCGUGGGUAUCGAACAGG
rnacentral:rRNA from 1 species